AAAGCGGGGGAGCAACGGAUUAGAUACCUGGUAGUCCACGCCGUAAACGAUGAGUGUAAGUUUAGAGGUUUCCGCCCUUUAGUGGUGAAGUUAACGCAUAAGCACUCCGCCUGGGGAGUACGGCCGCAAGGGUGAAACUCAAAGGAAUUGACGGGGGCCCGCACAAGCGGUGGAGCAUGUGGUUUAAUUUGAAGCAACGGGAAGAACCUUACCAGGUCUUGACAUCCUUUGAAAACCCUAGAGAUAGGGGUUCUCCUUCGGGAGCAGAGUGACAGGUGGUGCAUGGUUGUCGUCAGCUCGUGUCGUGAGAUGUUGGGUUAAGUCCCGCAACGAGCGCAACCCUUGAUUUUAGUUGCCAUCAUUAAGUUGGGCACUUUAAGGUGACUGCCGGUGACAAACCGGAGGAAGGUGGGGAUGACGUCAAAUCAUCAUGCCCCUUAUGACCUGGGCUACACACGUGCUACAAUGGACGGUACAAAGAGCUGCAAGACCGCGAGGUGGAGCUAAUCUCAUAAAACCCUUCUCAGUUCGGAUUGUAGGGUGCAACUUGCCUACCUGAAGCUGGA
rnacentral:rRNA from 1 species